AACAAGGAUUCCCCUAGUAACGGCGAGUGAAGAGGGAAGAGACCAAGAUUGAAAGCUGGCGUCUUCGGCGUCCGCAUUGUAAUCUCAAGAAGUGUUUUCCGCUUCGGACCAUGCCUAAGUCCCUUGGAAAAGGGCAUCAUAGAGGGUGAUAAUCCCGUACAUGGCAUGGAGCGCCCGAGGCUUUGUGAUACGCUUUCUAAGAGUCGAGUUGUUUGGGAAUGCAGCUCAAAAUGGGUGGUAAAUGCCAUCUAAGGCUAAAUAUUGGGGAGAGACCGAUAGCGAACAAGUACAGUGAUGGAAAGAUGAAAAGAACUUUGAAAAGAGAGUUAAACAGUACGUGAAAUUGCCAAAAGGGAAGGGUAGGAGGUCAGAGAUGCGUCUUGGGAUUCAGCCUUGCUUUUGCUUGGUGUUUUUCCCAAGUUGCAGGCCAACGUCGGUUUUGGGCACUGGAGAAGGGUGGAAGGAACGUGGCACCUCUCGGGGUGUGUUAUAGCCUUCUACUGGAUACAGCGACCGAGACCGAGGACAGCAGCGUACUCGCAAGAGCGGGCCUUCGGGCACCUUUACGCUUAGGGCGUUGGCAUAAUGGCCCUCUACCACCCGUCUUGAACAACGGGACCA
rnacentral:rRNA from 1 species